rnacentral:sRNA from 1 species
UAAACUACCUUAAACAACAAUACUAGCACCAUUUCACACAACCUAUAAAAAAAACUUGUAUACAAAAGUUAAUAGAAAUUUAACCAACAAAUCAGGUUUAUAUGCAGUCUUCCUUCGUAUUAACAAAGAUGUGCACUCUUAGAAAAUACAUAUUCGCAUUACGCAAAAAGUACUGACGCCAAUAUUGUGACAUUUACCAACCAUCCAUCGCAGUUAGUGUUCAUGCACGGCCUUGAUGAAUUUUUAGAAAAGAUCCAAAGCUAGCUCAGCAACAGAUUUUUAAAUGCUCCAGUAUGAGGAUGUAGGGCUGCGUCAACAAGAAAAACAUGCGUUAUUGGAGUGUAAAUUAUCAAGAACACCUAUAGAACAACAUUCGCGACGUCAUUACCAACAUACCGAUUUAUAGGCUGCGAAGUAUGCGCGAUGGGGGCUGCUAUUUACCCAAUGUCAUUUUCAAGACUGCAUGAAAAUAUAUGAGAUAUUGUAUUCUCAAAUUUAUUUAUUUGUUUAUUAUGCAAUUAUAAGCCACAAGUAAUCGAUUAACAAUAACAAUAUUCAGCAUGUAUAAUUAAAAACAAUUAAAAUAAUAA